rnacentral:lncRNA from 1 species
CUUAAGGCAGCCAAACAUCCAGAACUGAUCCUUCUCAUAAGAUAACACAAAAAUUUCACUUAAAUUUAGUUAAAUGUAGGGUGACCAGUUGAGGAAAAGGACAAUGAAGGGUUUUCAUCCAAUUAGCCAUUAGUCCUACUGACAUAAGUUUUCAUCUUCUGUUCCAUGUUAUCUUACUUUUUGUAUGAAUUGUCCCUUUGAAAUUCUGUGAAGGAACUGAAAGAAUCUCAGGGCAUCUGGAUCCAAGAGAGAAAAGUCAGGUGGCAAAGCCACCCAACAAGGAUAAUACAAAGGAAAUUGUCAAAAACUAUGAGGAUGCAAUUCCCAGAGGUAGCAUUGUCACACAGAAACCGGAAGAGACUUUUAAAUUUGAAAACAACAAUGAAAAU